rnacentral:lncRNA from 10 species
UCCUGGACAAAGCUGCCAGUCAGAGCUGCUUGCUCAGUGUGGGGCAUCUGGUGUGACUGGUGGGACCCUGUGUUUCAAGGGGCAGUUACCCCUGCCAAGGUCCCAUGCGAGUGCAUGUCUGUGUGCCCAUGGGCAGUGAGGAGGGUGGUGUAGCUGGGGCAGCUGACCAUGGGUGAACAGCAGGGGGCCUUGCUGGGGACAGGCUGGCUCAUGGAGGGCCCCAGGGGUCACUUCUGGACUUGCAAGUUUAGGUAGUUAAACUCACCUGAUGAGGGGGGAAGGGAGGCAGACAGGCUGGAAGGCAGCUGAGAUAUUUUGUGGCCACCCCACAGGGUCACAGUGCUCCCUGGAACCCCAUACUUACUCUGAAGACAGCACCCCACCAUGUACCCCUUCCUUCUGCCAUGGCCACAUGAGCCUGCAAGAGCUGCCAGGCUGACAUGGGGCUUUCUGGCCACAGUGACUGAUCCAGGGAUGGGAAGAGAUGUAGCCUUGGCGUUGGAAGUUUUCAAGGCUUGGGUAUGUCUGCAUGCACAGUAUUGGCAGCGUGAAAAUGGACUUCAAAGGAGGAAUGUGUCACUAUGAGCUCUCUGCCAUGUGAGGGCGCCAUCCCACAAGGGAAGGAGAGGAGAGCUGGCUGGACAGCAGCACUCAUGUACAGAAUGCCAGUGGUCCCGUGGUACAGGCUGUCAUGGAAAUGCAGAGCAGAGCCACAUAUGGCCAUGUCACUCAGGCUCACGGCAGAAGAGACUUCCCUUGUCUUAGAUGAGACUUCAGACUUGGACUUUUGGGUUAAUGCUAGAAUAAGUUAAACUUUGGGAGACUGUUGGGAAGGCAUGAUUGAGUUUUUAAAUGUGAGAAGGCCAUGAGAUUUGGGAGGGGCUGGGGGUGUAAUGAUAUGGUUUGGCUCUUUUUCCCCACCCAAAUCUCUUCUCUAAUUGUAAUCCACAUGUAUCAAGGGAGGGACCUGGUGGGAGGUGAUUGAAUCAUGAGGCAGUUUCCCCUAUACUGUUCUCAUGAUAGUGAAUGAGUUCUUAUGGGAUCUGAUUGUUUAAAAAUAUAGCACUUUCACCUCCCACCUCUCUCCUGUUGCCAUGUAAGGCGUGCCUUGCUUUCCCUUCACCUUCCACCAUGAUUGUAAGUUUCCUGAGGCCUCCCUAACCAUGAGGAACUAUGAGUCAAUUAAACCUCUUUUCUUUAUAAUUUACCCAGUCUCAGCUCGUUCU